AGCAAGAGAGUGCAAGGGCAUCAAAAUUGACAGGGCCUACAUAGGUUCUUGCACUGGUGGAAAGAUGGAGGAUUUUUUAGCUGCAGCAAAGGUGUUCCUAGCUUCGGGAAAAUAGGUAUGAAUGGAUAUAUAGCCUCCCGGUACCAAGAUCUGGCAGGAAGACUUGUUCUCAAAUAUUUGAGGAGGCUGGUUGUGAAGUUCCAUGCCUAUUUGUUUCUACCACAAAUAGGAACUUCCAUGGCAGAAUGGGUCACAAAGAGGGUCAGAUGUAUCUUGCUUCACCAUAUACGGCUGCUGCUUCAGCUUUGACAGGAUACGAUACUGAUCCAAGGGACUUCCUUCCGUGAAAGGAACAAGUAUGUAAUCUAUGUAUCAUCAUAGAGAGUCCAUACAAAAAUUAUGUAUGUUUUUCCUCUCUAGCCUAUUGUAACUUGUAAUGUUAGAUGUUUACUACAAGAAUAAUCAUGGGAAAUAGCCUGUAUAUGGUAAAGUUCUUA